GGGAAGAUAUCCUUCUCUGUCUUCAAGCCCCGCCAUGUACAUGGAGUGAACAUCCCAAUGGGAAGAUCACAGGUGGAGAAACAACAUGCCACUGGAGCUCCCAAGGUCAUGGAAGGCACUGGACAUGUCCCAGGGUACAUUAGGAUCCAACAGGAUGUACCCUCACCUCUUCACAGAUGUUAGCCAGGAUUGUCAUUACGGAG
rnacentral:lncRNA from 1 species